CCUACGGGGGGCAGCAGUGAGGAAUAUUGGUCAAUGGGCUUACGCCUGAACCAGCCAAGUCGCGUGAGGGAAGACUGCCCUAUGGGUUGUAAACCUCUUUUGUCAGGAAGCAACGCCGGCUACGUGUAGCCGGACUGAGAGUACCUGAAGAAAAAGCAUCGGCUAACUCCGUGCCAGCAGCCGCGGUAAUACGUAGGGGGCAAGCGUUAUCCGGAAUUACUGGGUGUAAAGGGAGCGUAGACGGUGAUGUAAGUCUGGAGUGAAAGGCGGGGGCCCAACCCCCGGACUGCUCUGGAAACUAUGUG
rnacentral:rRNA from 1 species